UACGUAGGGGGCUAGCGUUGUCCGGAUUUAUUGGCGUAAAGGAGCGUGUAGGCGGCCAAGUAGGUCCGGUGUGAAAACUCGAGGCUUAAACCUCGAGAUGUCAUCGGAAACCAUUUGGCUAGAAGUCCGGUAAGAGGAAAGUGGAAUUCCUGGGUAUAAGCGGGUGAAAUGACUGCAGAUAUCAGGAGGAACACCGGUGGCGAAGGCGGGUCUCUGGGCCGAUAUCGACGCUGGAGGAGCGAAAGCGUGGGGAGCGAACAGG
rnacentral:rRNA from 1 species